rnacentral:rRNA from 1 species
GAUGAACGCUAGCGGCAGGCUUAACACAUGCAAGUCGAACGGGAGUAUUGAAGAAGCUUGCUUUAGAGAUACUUUAGUGGCGGACGGGUGAGUAACGCGUGAGGAGCUGUCCUAUGCAGGGGGACAACAGCUGGAAACGGCUGCUAAUACCCCAUAAGCCGAGAGGUAAAAGGAUCAAUCCGGCAGAGGAGGUACUCGCGUCCUAUCAGCUAGUAGGUGAGGUAACGGCUCACCUAGGCGAAGACGGGUAGCCGGCCUGAGAGGGCGAACGGCCACACUGGAACUGAGAUACGGUCCAGACUCCUACGGGAGGCAGCAGUGGGGAAUAUUGGGCAAUGGGGGAAACCCUGACCCAGCGACGCCGCGUGGGUGAAGAAAUCCUUCGGGAUGUAAAGCCCUGUUGUAUGGGAAGAGCGGAAGACGGUACCAUACGAGGAAGCCCCGGCAAACUACGUG